rnacentral:pre_miRNA from 1 species
GUUUUUCUCCUGGAGUUCACUGCAGGCCUGUAUGUCCUGUUACCGCAUAAGGCACGCGGUGAAUGCCAAGAGCAGACGA